UACGGAGGGUGCGAGCGUUGUCCGGAAUCACUGGGCGUAAAGGGCGCGUAGGUGGCCGAGCAAGGUCGCGGUGAAAGCUUGGGGCUCAACCCCAAGUCGGCCGUGGCAACUACUUGGCUUGAGCACUGUAGGGGCGGGUGGAAUUCCGGGUGUAGCGGUGGAAUGCGUAGAGAUCCGGAAGAACACCGGUGGCGAAGGCGGCCCGCUGGGCAGGAAGGCUCGCAAGAGCCGGCUGACACUGAGGCGCGACAGCGUGGGGAGCAAACAGG
rnacentral:rRNA from 1 species